UACAGAGGCCUCAAGCGUUAGGCGGAAUCACUGGGCUUAAAGCGUGUGUAGGCGGACUUCUAAGUACCUUGUGAAAUCCCACGGCUUAACUGUGGAACUGCUUGGUAUACUGGUUGUCUUGAGCCACUCAGGGGCGAGCGGAACAAAUGGUGGAGCGGUGAAAUGCGUAGAUAUCAUUUGGAACGCCAAUGGUGAAAACAGCUCGCUGGGGGUGUGCUGACGCUGAGACACGAAAGCCAGGGGAGCGAACGGG
rnacentral:rRNA from 2 species